UACGGAGGGAGCUAGCGUUAUUCGGAAUUACUGGGCGUAAAGCGCACGUAGGCGGCUUUGUAAGUUAGAGGUGAAAGCCUGAAGCUCAACUCCAGAAUUGCCUUUAAGACUGCAUCGCUUGAAUCCAGGAGAGGUGAGUGGAAUUCCGAGUGUAGAGGUGAAAUUCGUAGAUAUUCGGAAGAACACCAGUGGCGAAGGCGGCUCACUGGACUGGUAUUGACGCUGAGGUGCGAAAGCGUGGGGAGCAAACAGG
rnacentral:rRNA from 1 species